GAGGUCAUGAUGUUGAUGGAAUUCAAAUUAAGCCUAAUUCAAAGCACAUAUGGAUAGACCGUUGCAGCCUCCGAGACUAUGAUGAUGGGUUGAUUGAUAUCACCCGAGGAAGCACGGAUAUCACUAUUUCUAGGUGUCACUUCUCACAGCAUGACAAGACAAUGCUCAUCGGAGCAGAUCCCUCUCACAUUGGCGACCGAUGUAUCCGUGUCACUAUCCAC
rnacentral:misc_RNA from 1 species